GGGAAAGAGCUUGCUCUUUCCGGAAUUGAGUGGCAAACGGGUGAGUAACGCGUAAACAACCUGCCUUCAGGAUGGGGACAACAGACGGAAACGACUGCUAAUACCGAAUAAGUUCCAAGAGCCGCAUGGCCCAUGGAAGAAAAGGUGGCCUCUACCUGUAAGCUAUCGCCUGAAGAGGGGUUUGCGUCUGAUUAGCUGGUUGGAGGGGUAACGGCCCACCAAGGCGACGAUCAGUAGCCGGUCUGAGAGGAUGAACGGCCACACUGGAACUGAGACACGGUCCAGACUCCUACGGGAGGCAGCAGUGGGGAAUCUUCCGCAAUGGGCGAAAGCCUGACGGAGCAACGCCGCGUGAGUGAUGACGGCCUUCGGGUUGUAAAACUCUGUGAUCCGGGACGAAAAGGCAGAGUGCGAAGAACAAACUGCAUUGACGGUACCGGAAAAGCAAGCCACGGCUAACUACGUGCCAGCAGCCGCGGUAAUACGUAGGUGGCAAGCGUUGUCCGGAAUUAUUGGGCGUAAAGCGCGCGCAGGCGGCUUCCCAAGUCCCUCUUAAAAGUGCGGGGCUUAACCCCGUGAUGGGAAGGAAACUGGGAAGCUGGAGUAUCGGAGAGGAAAGUGGAAUUCCUAGUGUAGCGGUGAAAUGCGUAGAGAUUAGGAAGAACACCGGUGGCGAAGGCGACUUUCUGGACGAAAACUGACGCUGAGGCGCGAAAGCGUGGGGAGCAAACAGGAUUAGAUACCCUGGUAGUCCACGCCGUANACGAUGGAUACUAGGUGUAGGAGGNAUCGACCCCUCCUGU
rnacentral:rRNA from 1 species